rnacentral:lncRNA from 1 species
GCCAUACUUGCCCUCAUGGCAUCAGGCUGGUACUAGUGCACAUCUGCAGGGGAAAAGAUGAUAAUUUAUUUUGGCUGGUGCUUAUACAAAUUUUGUUAGACUCCACACGAACUCUUAGAACUAAUUUCAAAGCUUUUCUGAUGAUGUUAGUGAUGACCUCAGACUAUGCUGACAUGGCACCUCUAUGUAUCUCACCUCAUGGAUAAUUCAUUAAAAUAAAGUAGGUUAAGCCACUGACUGGCCAAACAGGCUCCUACUUCAUCUCAGAAACCAGUAAGAAACUUCUCUGUGUUGUAGUUCCUGGCUUUCUUUCCAAGUCAGCUCCACACUCAUUUAAUUAGAAAAGAGAAGCUGAUGUGCUGACUGAUGAUGGGGGCAGGAGAAGUGUUACCAAAGUGAAAGAGGGCAGAGAAAAGGGGAUUUUUUUUUGUUUUGUUUUUUUUAAAAAGUCUCCUUUUUCUUCUCAGCAUUUUGUCUAUCUGUCUUGGGCUCCAGAAUUUCCUGAGCCUUUUCUGGUUAUCCCCACUGACAGAAAGGGAAAAAUGGGCUGAGUUCUGGCAUUCUUAGCCCUUCAAAGCAAAGCUGUUGAAGAGUGUUACAAGGAAUGAGAGACCCAGCUGAGCUCUCUGUGCUCACCCACAGCUUGAACAGCAGAAACACUCUAAAUCAGGCAUUUCAAGUUUAGAUGCAGGCUGUGCAGCUGCUGUUUUAUCUCUGCAGUGGGAAGGCCCGGGCCAGUGGCUGAAUUCAUUUGCAUAUUAAGUCCCAUGUACUCCAGGAAAAAAAACCAACAGGAGUGUGUGCUGUUACCCUGGGGACUGCUCUGAACUCUUACAGUUCUACAGUAUGUGAAACACAUGUUAUUGUAAGCAUUGAUGAGACUGAAGAAAUAACAAGGCUCUACAGCACAGAAACCUGUGUUAAUAGUUUGCAGGUUAAAUAUAUAAAGGGAUGACUUGGCUAUGGGAACUUUCCCCUUCUUCAGACAGUAUCUGGUAAGGUUGUUA